rnacentral:rRNA from 1 species
GACGAACGCUGGCGGCGUGCUUAACACAUGCAAGUCGAACGCUGAAGCUCAGCUUGCUGGGUGGAUGAGUGGCGAACGGGUGAGUAACACGUGAGUAACCUGCCCUCUUCUUUGGGAUAACGCCCGGAAACGGGUGCUAAUACUGGAUAUUCACUGAUUCUCGCAUGGGGGUUGGUGGAAAGGUUUUUUCUGGUGGGGGAUGGGCUCGCGGCCUAUCAGCUUGUUGGUGGGGUGAUGGCCUACCAAGGCUUUGACGGGUAGCCGGCCUGAGAGGGUGACCGGUCACAUUGGGACUGAGAUACGGCCCAGACUCCUACGGGAGGCAGCAGUGGGGAAUAUUGCACAAGGGGCGAAAGCCUGAUGCAGCGACGCCGCGUGAGGGAUGGAGGCCUUCGGGUUGUAAACCUCUUUCGCUCAUGGUCAAGCCGCAGCGUUGGGUUGUGGUGAGGGUAGUGGGUAAAGAAGCGCCGGCUAACUACGUG